ensembl:lncRNA
AUUAGCAAUUAGCCAGAGCUACAUGAGGGUUUUUUUUUAAUUUCAUUAACCGAGGAGUACCAACAAUUUUGUCCACGUGUGUAACUGUCCAUAAACUGCUCUUUUACAGCUCAGUUUAUUCUUUUUUUUCUUUAUUCACAUGUACUUAUUUGCUCAUGUCAUUCAUUCCUGCCAGCUUAUUUACAGACGCUGCAGUUUUGUCAUGUGUGCAAAAUCUGAACUGUAACGGUGCUCUGGUCACGCUUCCACCUUUCGUUUUCUUUCUGAAUGGCAUCCAAACACUAAACCCCAACAGUGACGCAUUUUUCCAAGAGGAGGCUCCGUUUGCAUUUGUUGGAUUGUAUGAUUCAAACAUUGAGGAUUUGGGGCAUCAUUUAUUGAGCCUUAUAAAGAAAUUUUGGUGAGCUCUUCAAACUGUGCAAAAUAGCAGUUUCAACUCCAGUUAGUGCUGCUUCUUCCCUCGGGUCCACCAUGGCAGAUGACAGGCUGAGUAAUUUAGGGGUUUUAAGCAUCGAGUCUGGAAGGGCAAAGUCUUUGAAUCUUGAUGCAUUUGUUGACCUCGUUGCAAGAAACCAUAAAAACCCCAGAAUUCAGUUGAUGUAACAAACUAAAGGGCAGCAGAAAUAACAUGUGGAGCAGUUUUUCUUCUUGUUUUUCAGUCUGGGUUGAAUGUAUAUUUCUUUAAAUGUUUGCAUGACACAAGAAAACCUGUUGAGUAAAGUUGAUAGAAAUAACUGAUGAAAAAGUUGAUAUAAAUUGUAUAAUUUACGUGAAUAAAGACCAUAAAUAACGUGUUGACAAAUUGUGUUUAAAUGAGUUGAGCCAGAGUUAAAUCCUUCAACAUGCAUUAUUUAUGUUUGAGAGAAGCAUCCAUUAGAACUAAAUGCAAUAUGAUUUUGAAUAUUGUAUUUUGCUGUUUAAUGCCCAUAAUAAUAUAGUGACUACAACAACCUUGUAUUUACAUAAAAAGCUCAGUCUGACUUAACUGCCCCCCACAAAUUGAAAUAGUCUGGAACUGCCACUGCCUGUGAUGCCUUCAAGGACUGUUAAAAAGAUAAAUAAACCAUUGAUUUUUCCAGUUUGUACAGUUUCUGCAAGUUUUUUUCUUUUCUCCUGUCACAUUUUUCUUCACUGUGGGCUCAUUUUCCACUGCAAUAUAAACUCCUGCAGUGAAAAAUGAAAACAGAACAACCAGCAGAAGGAGCGAGAACUCAGAAAUGUCACAAUUAGAAUUAUCAAGAAAAUAUCAACGCUGAAUUUGUCAGAUUACUCAUUUUAUAAAAAUUGGACAAACUUGGAAUCAAUACAACAGUUUUCCAAUUGUCCAUUGGAAAAUAACAGAGGCUGCACAUACUAUAGAUAAUUAACUAUUUCCAUUUUUACAUCCUGCAAAUGGUUUCACUUUGAAAUAUUACCAUUCUAAUCUUAGAUUUGGGUAAUUUUCCUGAUAGAACUACAUGAUGCCUUUAAGGACUGUUAAAAAGUUAAGAAAAAUGCAACAAUCCUUUCUGUUUUUACAGUUUCUGAUGUCAUUUCACCAUUUAGGUAAAAAAGAAAAUAUUCCUUUCAAGCCUGCUGGCAGGUUUUGGGGUUCAGAGGCUUAAAAUUGGGGCUCACAGCUUAAUUAUCUGCUUUUUUUCCAAUGUUUAACACUGAACUGGUUACUAGACUUGGCAGUUUUGUCCAGACGUGUGAUCGAGGUUCCUCUGUCUCAAUAUCAACUAAAGAAUAUUUUUAACAAACCUUAGUUUUAGGGCUAAAAUUGAUGAUAUUUGAAUAUAAGCAGGAAAAUAACUAACUCGAAUUUUGUUAAAUCACUCACUUUUUAAACAAAAAACACCCAGAAUUGUCUGCAACUAAAGAUUUCUUCAUUGUUGAUUCAUCUUUCAAAUAUUUUCUUGAUUAAAUGCUUAGUUUUGUCCAUAAAAUGUCAGGAAACGGUGCAAAAUGUUGAUUAGUAUCAAUCCAAGAUUAAAAAAACGUCGUUUUGUCCAAAGAUAUUCAGUUUACCGUCAUAGAGGAGGAAAGAAACCAGAAAAUACUCACAUUUAAGAAGCUGCAAACAGAUUUUAUUUUAAAAAUAACUCAAACUGAUAAUUAAAUCAUCAAAGGAUUUGUCAAUUAAUCGAUUAACAGACUAAUCGUUGCAGCUACAACUCAGUGAAACUGUAAUUUUCUGACAUUUUAUCGACCAAACCUUUAAUUAUUUCAUCAAGAAAAUAAAUGACUGUUAUAAUAAUCACCUUCUUAACUUCAAAACAGAAAUUAUGGGCUGAAAACGUGUGGAAUAUUCUAAAAAUGUUGCUUAGUUAGAUGUUAAAUAUGACAGAUUUCUAGCUGGAACUCCACCGUGGCCGAACUAAAGCAGCUCAUGAACCAUAAAACACACUUUUUAACGCAGACUGGAGGCGUUUUGACCCUUUUUCCUGCAUUGUGAUGCAGGCAGCAAACAUGGAAACAGACGUCGUUGUGCUUCUAGUUACAGUGAAGAAGCCCAAAGAGGCACAGAGUGUAACAGGCUGCACUGGUAGCGGUAAAUAUGGACACUUAGAGAAGAACUGGUGGCACAAUGAGGAGAGUAGAAAAAGCGGUCAGUGAAGGCAGCGUUUGAUUUUAAAAAGACGUCUCCAGUGUGCAGGUUUAAGGCACUGGGAUUCUGCCUGUUUAGUGCAAAACUCCUGGGGUCAGACGGCAGACGACUGGUCGAACGUUUGGCCGCAGCUGCAGCUCAGCGGGGUUCUGUACCAGCAGGGGUUGCAGUAUUCUUUGCCGCAGUACCUGCAGAGGACCAGCGGCUUCCUGGAGCAGUGCUUUCCGCAGGAGCAGACUCCCAGCGUCCGGACGUCGUGUUUGUUCUGGCAGAAGUCUCUUUCUCUGCAGGAGUCGGCGUGGAAGAUGCUGCAGCUGCGACAGAACACCUGCGGGUCGAGCUUGGCGAGGUCGCAGCAUUCGUGGAAGCCGAUUGGCUGCAGGGUGGGGCUGGUCGGUUUGAGGUCAUCGUCGCGCAGCGUCAAGGAGGACAUGGCCGCCGGCGAGGCUCUCUGAGGCGACGCCGCCUUCGGCUCCUUCGCCUCGUCGUCGAUGACCUUCACCUCGUGGCCCCUCCGCUUGCAAACGUCAAGGGAGGCGCAGAAGACGUUGUGCAGCGCAUUGCAUUCGAUGCAGCGUCUGAGACACAGGUCAUACGACUGCAGACAGCUACAGAGGUGGUUGGCCUCCGGUGCCUCCCCCAGCAGAGAGUCCGAGGCAUCGAACCUCCUGUCGAACCUCCUGCCUGGGCUCCAGCUGGCGUCGGGCUCCGACGGAUCCGACGUCGUCACGCCGUUGGUUUUGGCGGCAGGCGGCGAUACGGCGCUGCUUUGGGUCGUCCAGGUAACGGAGUGAGGACCGGCGUCGUCAGCGGCGACCGUCUGCUGCAUCCCGUCUCCAUUGGCCUGCUCGUCUCUGUACAGAUCCUCUUCAACGUCGAACGGCUCCAGCGACCUCUGGGUGGUUUCUAUGGCGACCUGCAAGGAACAAAACAUCAUCAGCUUUACACGAGGAGCUUAAGUUUAGCUUCUUAAAUCUGAAUAUUUUCUGG